rnacentral:rRNA from 1 species
GAUGAACGCUAGCGGCAGGCUUAACACAUGCAAGUCGAGGGGCAGCAUACCCGGUGACGGGUGAUGGCGACCGGCGGAAGGGUGAGUAACGCGUGAGCAACAUACCCGUAUCAGUGGGAUAAUACAGGGAAACUUGUUCUAAUAUCACAUAAUAUUAUUCAGAGGCAUCUUUGGAUAAUUAAAGUUCAGGCGGAUACGGAAUGGCUCGCGUGACAUUAGCUAGAUGGUAGGGUAAAGGCCUACCAUGGCUAUGAUGUCUAGGGGUUCUGAGAGGGAGGUCCCCCAACUGGAACUGAGACACGGUCCAGACUCCUACGGGAGGCAGCAGUGAGGAAUAUUGGACAAUGGAUGAAAAUCUGAUCCAGCCAUGCCGCGUGCAGGAAGGCGGCCCUAUCGGGUUGUAAACUGACUUUUGUACGGGAGCAAUAAGGUCUACGAGUAGGAUUGAUGAGAGUACUGUACGAAUAAGCAUCGGCUAACUCCGU